CACGCGGUGCGGCGUGCUAUACAUGCAGUCGAGCGAACGGACGAGAAGCUUGCUUCUCUGAUGUUAGCGGCGGACGGGUGAGUAACACGUGGAUAACCUACCUAUAAGACUGGGAUAACUUCGGGAAACCGGAGCUAAUACCGGAUAAUAUUUUGAACCGCAUGGUUCAAAAGUGAAAGACGGUCUUGCUGUGACUUAUAGAUGGAUCCGCGCUGCAUUAGCUAGUUGGUAAGGUAACGGCUUACCAGGGCGACGAUGCAUAGCCGACCUGAGAGGGUGAUCGGCCACACUGGAACUGAGACACGGUCCAGACUCCUACGGGAGGCAGCAGUAGGGAAUCUUCCGCAAUGGGCGAAAGCCUGACGGAGCAACGCCGCGUGAGUGAAGAAGGUCUUCGGA
rnacentral:rRNA from 1 species